CUACAAUGGUUUAACUAAUUUAAAUUCCCAUCAAUAGUGUAAAAGCAUUCCUGUUUCUCCACAUCCUCUCCAGCAUCUGUUGUUUCCUGACUUUUUAAUGAUCACCAUUCUAACUGGCAUGAGAUGGUAUCUCAUUGUGGUUUUGAUUUGCAUUUCUCUAGUGAUAAUGAACUUUUUUUCUUAUGUUUGUUGGCUGCAUAGAUGUCCUCUUUUGAGAAGUGUCUGUUCAUAUCCUUCGCCCACUUUCUGAUGGAGUUGUUUGUUUUUUCUUGUAAAUUUGUUUAAGUUCCUUGUAGUUGCCUCUGAAUAGUCGCCUCAGCCACAGACUUGAUGAAGAGUAGUUUAAACAUUUAGAUUCCCCAAUUUGUUGUCAAUGGGGUUAUUGUUGAUGUUGUUGUUUACAGUAAUACUUUCUAUUAUGUUUAAGAACUUUCAAAUUAUAUGUAAUAAAAAAUUUAAAUUUGUAUUCAAACACACGUGAACUUCAUGAUUUAAUGGAGCUUCCUCUGUAUUAGAAUUUUAUACUUUAUGUCUUGUUCGAUCUUACAUUAUUUUUGUAGUAGGUUUGUCAAAAGAGUGACCUAAUAUUUUUUUUCUCAUUUUUGGCUUUCUCAGGGCUGAUCAUAUCCUCACUACUUUGAUAAAGAAUACAAUAGUCUUUGUUGUUUUAUCUUUUAUAUAAUAAUAAGUUU
rnacentral:lncRNA from 1 species